CGAUAGUUCAAAAGUUAGUUUAUUGAUCUAUGUUUUCGUACGACGAAGCUUCAUCUCUGUUCUUGUGACUUUCUGAUUUUGUGUUUUUCCUAUAGCCUUUAAUUCCUCUAUAUCUCACAAUAAUAAGUUUGUGAAGAAAUGUCUUCUGACCGAAGGAACAAACAUAUACAAAAGAUACAAAAGAGGAAUCCUUAGUGGAAAAACUUAUUGCAGAAGCAUCUGUAGGAGAAAAUUGUUGUAUUAUUAUAUU